GAUGAACGCUGGCGGCGUGCCUAAUACAUGCAAGUCGAGCGAACAGAUGAUGAGCUUGCUCCUCUGACGUUAGCGGCGGACGGGUGAGUAACGCGUGUAUCACCUACCUAUCAGACUGAUAUAUCUUCGGGAAUCCGGAUCUUAUACCGUAUAAUAUAUUGAACCGCAUGGUUCAAUAGUGAAUUACGGUUUUUCUGUCUCUUCUAGAUGCAUCUGCGCCGCAUUAGAUGGUUGUGAAGGUCACGGCCUACCAAGGCAACGAGGCGUAGACGAGGGGAGAGGCUGAUAGGCCACACUAGAACUGAGACGCGGUCAAGGCUACUACGGGAGGCAGCAGUAGGGAACCUUACGCAGCGGGCGAAAGCAUGACGGAGCAAGGCCGAGUGAGUGGUGACAAUCUUGCGAUCGUAAAGCUCUGUUAUGAGGGAAAAACAAAUGUGGCAGUAACUAUGCACGUAUUGACGGUACCUAAUAAGAAAGCAACGGCUAACUACGUG
rnacentral:rRNA from 1 species